rnacentral:tRNA from 1 species
GCGGGUAUAGUUUAGUGGUAAAACCAAGCUAACGAUGCGGGUUCGAUUCCCGCUACCUGC